UGCAAUCGUACUUAUCUGUAGUUGCCACUUUUGUUGUCCCGUGCCAUGUUUAUUGCAGCCCAUAAAUAGAACAUAUUUAUAGUUUGUCUACUUAUCAUGUCUAAACACAUCUUUAGACAGUGGUUUUAGAUUGGCUAUCAAAGAGCCAAGACUUAAAUAAAUCCAUAAUAAUAGAAACCUAAUAUUUUAAGAAUGUGUAAAAUUCGAUGCCAACACGGGUUUUGUGCUUAAUACCGGACGGAGGCAACUUUACACAAUUUGAAUGAAAUUAAAGUUGUUAUUUUUAGUACAAAAUCAUAUUACGUAGCGUUCGAAUACCUUGUGGUCAUAUUUUUUUUUCUCUUAAGGGUACUGUUUUUAAUAAAUUAUUUAUAUUGUAGUUGAAGUUGAAUAUAUAUCAACAUUUUUUGUUGUUGUAAUCGUAGAGAAAAAAAUUAUUCUUCCGAGAAAAUAUGUACAUUGGCAUGCGUCAUUUAUAAUAGUAUUGAAAAUGUGGUGUGUUGGACUUUGUUCACUGCACUGCUCGGCACUCGAGAAUGAAUGCGCUAGUACGCUGAAAUUCAGGUUGCGAAAUUCGAUCCGGCACUAGUGUUAAAAUGUACAUUGAUGAAUAUUUUCAUCAAUCAAUCAAAUAAAGCAGCUAUCUAAAAGUGCGGCUGCAUCAUCUUGUCCGAAUAAUGGAGUAAGAAGUUGCAGUGUUCAUUUGAACUGAAUUGUAUUUAAGAGUUAGUUUUCCAGUCUCAUCAAUUUAUAAAUGAAAUUAAACGUAUGGUGCCAGCAUCUCAAGUUGUAAACUUCUGACACAAACAAAAAAAAAAAUUCUACAAUUUUGAAAGUGUGGCGACCGGCAUUGCCAACAACCAUGCAUCGGAAGAGCGGUGUGACAACGGCGGGACUACUAAUUAUUCUAAGUAGUAAUAAAUUGACUUCAACCGAAAGCCCAAAGGUGUGUUACGUCACUAAAGAAGCAGGUUAUUACGUUGGCGACGAGUAGAAAAAAUUUGGUAAAUUAGCCAAUCAAAAAAGAAGAAGAGAUGAAACAAAAACGAUGAAUUGCAAGUCACUCGCGACGUGACUUAGUGUGUGUGCUUGUGUCUUGAAACUCUGACAAAAAAUAAGGAGAGAAGCAAUAAACGGAGUGAUUGCAAAUCUGCACGUUGCAAACAGAAACCAACUUUGAGCACAAAGUGGAAUGAGUGGUUUUGCAUGCAAUAAUUAUCCACCUUCCCUCUCUCGUUCCACACGCACACAUGCACUCCGUUAAAAAGGGUAAAAAAAGAAAUAACUCUACCCAAUCCUGACAGUUGCUGAGUAAGAGACACUCUAUAGCAACCAAAUGAAGCCAAACAAAAUAAAGUGUUUUAAGGUCGAGUACGCAUUAAAAGCUCCAAAGAGAGAAGCUGAGUAAUGGUACAAGUCAAAGCAUAUUAAAAAUGCAAGUAUUUGAAUGACCAAAUGUGUCUAAAAACCGUUUCAGAGCGAGGCGAUCGACAGGCCGAUCCUCCGAAAUUAAUUGGAUAAAUGGCUAAGGGCGUUUACAACAUACCUCGAGGCCGAAACCAAAAGCAUAAGAGGACUAAGCUACUACUCUUGGGAAGGAAGUCCAGCUACAGCUUAACCAGCUGGUUAAGCCAACCGACGAAAAUAAAGAAAACAUCUAGAAAAUCCUCAUCGACCAUCUUAAUAAACACUUGUUACCGAAGUAGAACUCUACGUUUGAGAGACAUCUAUUUAGAGGCCUGACACCUUUAGACACGGAGACCUUUACGGAUCUCUUGCUGCGAAUCCGUCAGCAAAUGCAAAGAUGUAUGUUCGGAUCUUCAAAAUCGGAAAUUGAGAACAUAUGCCUUGAAGAUGUUUUUUUUAUUGCUAUUUAUUAUUUAUUGAAUCUUAACUUUGUUUUAAGAGACUAACAAUAAGUAUUCAAAUUUUAAUCUAGCAUAGUUAACUUUCACUUAGUUACUGCAUACUCGGAUUAGUUUUCUUGCGAGAGGAUUUGGAUGGUCAGCUUUGGUACCUCGGCGCUUCAGCGAUAGUUCUCAGAGUUGGUGACUGUGCUCGCUGAAUAAUGUGUAUGUUACUUCUGGAUGCGUUGCCCCACAGCUCGGAGCCAUAAGUCCAGAUAGAUUUUAAGACGGAGUUGUAUAGAAGAGCUUUGAACUCCAGACUAAGUGGAGAGCGAGCAUUUAUGAGCCAGUGGAGGUUCCUUGCAUUAAGUUUAAGUUGUAUCGUCUUGGCUUCUAUAUAUUUGCGCCAAGUAAGCAGCCUGUCCAGAUGGACGCCCAGAUAUGUUACCUCGUCGGUUUUAGAAAUGCAUAUGUUAUUUAGGACCAGUGGUGGGCAUGUUUGUGUGUUUAAAGUAAAGAUAACCUGCUUGCAUUAUUGUACAUUUAUUAAAGUUCUUCAGUCGGCAA